CACACUCACUAUUCGCCAGAAUACUACAAGCAAAACGCUUAAAACUCAAAGGACUNGGUGGUGCCCCAUACCAUCCUAGAGGAGCCUGUCCUAUAAUCGAUACUCCACGUUACACCUCACCAUCUUUGGUCACUCCAGCCUAUAUACCGCCGUCGCCAGCCUACCCCAUGAGGGUUUAACAGUAGGCGAAAAUGCCUAACGCAAAAACGUCAGGUCAAGGUGUAGCUUAUAAGAUGGAAGAGAUGGGCUACAUUUUCUAAAUUAGAAAAUACGAACAGUGCUAUGAAACCAAGCACUAUGAAGGAGGAUUUAGCAGUAAAAUAAUAAAGAAAAACUAUUUUAAACAAGCUCUGGGACGCGCACACACCGCCCGUCACCCUCAUCAAUCAACCAUCACCUAUAACAUAUAACUUCAACCAACUACAAGAUGAGGUAAGUCGUAACAUGGUAAGCGCACUGGAAAGUGCGCUUGGAUUACAAAAAGUAGCUUAAAACUAAAGCAUUCAGCUUACAAUUGAAAAAUGUUAUUAUCUAACCUUUUUGAGCCAAAACAUUAAGCCCAACCCCCCUCCUUCCACCUAAUAAUUUCAAAAAACAAAUCAUUUGACCCGAACAGUAUUGGAGAAAGAAC
rnacentral:rRNA from 1 species